AAGUCGUAACAAGGUUUCCGUAGGUGAACCUGCGGAAGGAUCAUUACCGAGUUAGGGUACUCUUCGUGCCCGACCUCCAACCCUUUGUCUACCUGACCAGAUGUUGCUUCGGCAGGCCCGCCGCCCCGCGAGGAGCAGCCGCCGGGGGUCCUUACCGGCCCCGGGUCCGUGCCUGUCGAUGGCCCUUCUAAAACUCUUGCUUAAACGUGUCGUCUGAGUAAAACAAACAAAAUAAAAACAAAACUUUCAACAACGGAUCUCUUGGUUCUG
rnacentral:misc_RNA from 1 species